CAAUAUUUACACUGCUCUCUCGUAUACUUUGCGGAAAACGUCUUCCCUUCGAAUUGGCUUCUGUGCACGAUCUCCUGGGCUCGUCUUCGAAUUCGCUUCUGAUCUCCAAGGAGUGUUCUCGAUUAAAGCGAGUUACAUCUCCAAUCUGUGAAAAUGCCUCUCAGGCUCGAAAUUAAGCGAAAGCUUGCACAAAGAUCAGAGAGAGUAAAGUCCGUGGAUCUACAUCCAACAGAACCAUGGAUUCUGGCAAGUUUAUACUCAGGAACUGUCUGUAUUUGGAACUACCAAUCCCAGACCAUGGCCAAGUCUUUUGAGGUUACUGAGUUACCAGUUAGGUCAGCCAAGUUUGUUGCACGCAAACAGUGGGUGGUUGCUGGAGCAGAUGAUAUGUUCAUCCGCGUAUACAAUUACAACACAAUGGACAAAGUUAAAGUUUUCGAGGCACAUACAGAUUACAUUAGGUGCGUGGCGGUUCAUCCUACCCUUCCUUAUGUGCUGUCAUCAUCUGAUGAUAUGCUCAUAAAGCUUUGGGAUUGGGAGAAAGGCUGGAUUUGUACUCAGAUAUUUGAGGGGCACUCUCAUUACGUGAUGCAAGUGACAUUUAAUCCUAAAGACACCAACACCUUUGCCAGUGCAUCUCUUGAUCGCACCAUAAAGGUUUGGAAUCUUGGUUCACCUGAUCCCAAUUUUACAUUGGAUGCCCAUCAGAAAGGGGUGAACUGUGUUGAUUACUUCACAGGUGGUGACAAACCUUAUCUAAUUACUGGUUCUGAUGAUCACACUGCUAAGGUGUGGGACUAUCAGGCCAAAAGUUGUGUUCAGACUCUAGAAGGUCACGCACACAAUGUAUCUGCUGUUUGCUUUCACCCUGAACUUCCUAUUAUCAUUACCGGUUCUGAGGAUGGCACAGUGCGCAUAUGGCACUCAACAACUUAUAGGCUUGAGAACACAUUGAACUAUGGUCUUGAAAGAGUUUGGGCAAUUGGAUACAUCAAAGGUUCACGCCGGGUUGUCAUUGGCUAUGAUGAAGGAACUAUCAUGGUCAAACUUGGUCGAGAAGUGCCGGUAGCCAGCAUGGAUAACAGUGGGAAAAUUAUUUGGGCAAAGCAUAAUGAAAUUCAAACUGUCAAUAUAAAGAGUGUAGGAGCAGACGUGGAGGUGGCCGAUGGAGAAAGGUUACCUUUGGCUGUCAAGGAAUUGGGCACCUGUGAUCUCUACCCGCAGUUUUUAAAGCACAAUCCAAACGGCAGAUUUGUUGUUGUGUGUGGAGAUGGUGAGUAUAUUAUUUACACUGCCUUGGCAUGGAGGAAUAGGUCAUUUGGCUCAGCAUUGGAGUUUGUUUGGUCUUCGGAUGGGGAAUACGCUGUCAGAGAAAGUACAUCAAGGAUUAAAAUUUUUAGCAAAAAUUUUCAGGAAAAGAAGAGUAUCCGACCUACAUUUUCAGCUGAACGAAUAUUUGGUGGUACUUUACUGGCAAUGUGCUCAAACGACUUCAUCUGCUUUUAUGAUUGGGCUGAAUGCAGGUUGAUUCGUCGCAUUGAUGUUAAUGUGAAAAACCUUUACUGGGCUGACAGUGGUGAUCUACUGGCAAUUGCAAGUGAUACAUCAUUUUACAUCUUGAAGUACAAUCGUGAUGUUGUUGCAUCAUCGUUGGAUAGUGGAAGACCUGUUGAUGAGCAGGGUGUUGAAGAUGCCUUCGAUCUCCUUCAUGAAAUGAAUGAACGUGUCAGGACUGGCAUCUGGGUUGGGGAUUGUUUCAUCUAUAACAAUUCCUCCUGGAGACUUAACUACUGUGUUGGUGGUGAGGUAACUACAAUGUUUCAUUUGGACCGUCCUAUGUACUUGCUGGGAUAUCUUGCCAGCCAAAGUAGGGUUUAUUUGAUAGACAAGGAGUUCAAUGUUAUGGGGUACACACUGCUUUUAAGCUUGAUUGAGUACAAGACUCUUGUGAUGCGUGGUGAUCUGGAAAGAGCCGAUGAAGUUCUGCCAACAAUUCCUAAAGAGCAUCAUAACAGUGUGGCUCGUUUCCUGGAAUCACGUGGGAUGAUAGAGGAAGCUCUUGAAGUAGCUACUGACCCUGACUACAGAUUUGAGCUUGCCAUACAGCUUGGAAGAUUGGAGGUUGCUAAGAGUAUUGCUACAGAAGUGCACAGUGAGUCUAAAUGGAAGCAGUUGGGAGAGUUAGCUAUGUCUACUGGCAAGUUAGAAAUGGCCGAGGAGUGUCUAAAGCAUGCAAUGGAUUUGAGUGGUUUGUUACUGCUUUAUUCUUCUUUAGGUGAUGCAGAGGGAAUAUCAAAACUUGCAACCCUUGCUAAAGAGCAAGGGAAAAACAAUGUUGCAUUCCUUUGCUUAUUUAUGUUGGGUAGGCUUGAAGACUGCCUGCAAUUGUUGAUAGAAAGCAACCGGAUUCCUGAGGCAGCUCUAAUGGCACGAUCUUAUCUCCCUAGUAAGGUCUCAGAGAUUGUGGCAAUUUGGAGAAAAGAUCUCAGCAAGGUUAAUCCAAAAGCUGCUGAGUCAUUGGCUGAUCCUGAGGAGUAUCCCAAUUUGUUUGAAGACUGGCAAGUUGCACUUGCUGUUGAAUCUAAAGCUGCAGAAACACGGGGUGUUUAUCCUCCUGCAGAAGAUUACAUUAACCAUGCUGCCGAAUCUCGCGUUACCCUUGUUGAAGCAUUCAGAAACAUGCAGAUUGAAGAUGCAGAGGAGCCUCUUGAGAAUGGGGACUCAAAUCAUGAGUUAACUGAACAAAAUGGAGAAGAGCACGUUACAGAGGAACUGAAUGGAGAGGUAGGAAGCCAAGAGGAGGCAGUUGUUGUGGAUGCUGACUCUGCAGAUGGUGCAGUACUUGUUAAUGGCAAUGAGGCUGAUGAACAGUGGGGUACGAAUAAUGAAGGAGCCCUGUCAGCCUAAAAGCAAUUGGUUGGGGCAGUGUGAAAAUCCAAUUUUGUCUCUGGUGAUUAAUUGUUUCUGAAGUGCCAUUUCUAACUCCCGUUUAGACAACUUGCUGACUUACUCCAUUUCUUCUAGCUUUUAUGGUGCUUACACCACAUCACUAGUUAACAUCAAGGACAGUUGGUUCCAGCUCCUAGGAAUAUUUAAGGUUUUCUUAAGGAGGCGAUGUUAGCAUUGUGCGGACUGGCUGUUUCUGUUUCCUGGUGUUGUGGUUUGGUAGUGGCCUGAGUUUUCUCAUUUUGUACGUGGUAUAAUACUAUCUCAUAGGUUCAGGUAGUUACAAUUUAUUAGAAUUUAUAGAAGAUUCUUUUUGAGGCGUUUGACCUCAAAUAUUCUCUCGUGCCAUUGUGAAUGUAGAAAAGCGGAAUUAUGAUUGCGUGUUCUGAUUCUAGGUAGUCCCUCUGAAGUGAAAUCUUGCUCAUGGUUUUCACUUUGAUAUUUACUUGGAUUGUAAUCAUGGACUCAUAAUAGAGAAAAUAACCAUUCUUCCUCAAGAA